ACCCUCUCAGUAUGGCACCUGGAGAGUUUCCAGUCCUCUACCAGCCUCGGCUAUGGGAGGGAGAGUCAAGCAGAGGCCUACCCAUUCCAUUCCUAGCUUGGCCAGUGGCUGAUGAGUGGCGGGUAAUCUGCUACAAGU